AUGCUUCCGCAGCACAUAUACUGAAGUUGGAACAAUACAGAGAAGAUGGCCCCUUGCAAAGGAUGACAUGCAAAUAUGUGAAGCAUUCCAUAUUUUG
rfam:Canis lupus familiaris chromosome 28, whole genome shotgun sequence.